AGGCAGAGGGAGAGAGUAUGAUAUAAGGAAGGUUGUUGAGAUGGAGAGGGUCAGGGGGCUAGGUCCUAAGAGGAGCCUCAAGAUGCUGAGAGUGGUACCUUACUGAUAGUCAGCAAGAAAAUGGGGACCUCUGUCCUACUACCUAAGGAACAGAAUUUGGACAAAACAUAAAUGAGCUCUGGACCCAUUCUUCCCAAGAGCUACCAUAGUAGCUGGAACCUAGUCUAGAUGACGGCUUUGACAUCAGCUUUGUGAGACCCCACACAAAGAACCCAGGAGGACUGUGGAAAAAGACAAGCAGGUGAAGACAGCUGCCUGGGCUUCUGGAACAAACACAGCAGAGUACAUACUACCGUGGCAAAUUUCAAGCCACAGAUGUGACAUCACAGAAUGCAAAGCUGGGAAGAGAUAUGCACCAUUGUAUAGAGUAUCCAUCACAGAUGCAGUAGAUGCAAAUAAACUCAAGAAUACAGAUGAUAUGCUAUAUCCAAUACAUGGCUGUGAAGGAUGAAAUGGUAGAAGAUACUUUAGAGUCUGACAUAGAGUCAGACUGAUCAGAGUUUAAGGGUGGACUCUUCCAUCUUCUAGCUGGUUAUCAGUGUCAAGUUCUGUAACCUCUUUGAACUUCAAUCUCUUCAUCUUAAAAUAGCUAUAGUAGUGCUAAUCCUAGGGUUCUUGGUGAGAAACUGUAUUUAUAUCUGUCUAUGAAGGGAGAAUAUAGAGAGAAAGAGAGAGAAAGAGAGAUUUGUUUAAUAUUUCUUGGCAUAUGGUAGGUGUUUGCUAAAAGUAGCUUGGAUAACUUCCAUUACUAGUAUUUGUGAACCUAUUGUGUAUUUCUAUGUUCAUCAGGUAAUUUUUAAGGAUCAGAAGGUCAGACCCAUGCAGUCAAACUGUUUUAAAGCUGGAAGCAAGCUCUCAGCAUUUCUUGAGGACCUAUCCUGCCUAGAAGAUGAAUGCAUUAUUCCUCUCACUCUCUCUCUCUCGAGUAUUUGGCAAUAGAAGGCCAUAGGUCCCAGGAAGCUCACAGGCACUCAUUUGCUUGCAUGCACUCUUCAAAUUAGAUUAGCCACCUUCAUUCCUUGUGGUCAAGAUUCCAAUUUGCUUCAAGCUCAGUAAGCACAGAUUUGUGCUUAAAAUUCAUUUCCUCACACACUCCAAAUAAGGAAAAGUCUCUAAAGUCUCUGAAAAGCAAAGUUGUUUUUGCUUUUAUUUCCCCAUGGGCUACUGAGAGCCUUUGGUGAGCAAUUCAGGUCUGUAUAAUAGGACAGGUGAGACAUCUUGUUGUAGGGGGAUGAUGCCAUUCUGAGGUGCACAUGUCAUAUUUUGGUUAAAAUGGGAUUUCUCUCCAGGGUAUUUUUUCUUUCCUUAGGGAAGACCUAUGUGCUAGCCACGUUUUGCUGAAAGGACAGAGUUCUAAAUUGUCUAACAGAAUAAAAUUGAUUCCUUGAGUGUUUGGGACUAAUAGCUAGGUUUGGUGUAGAGAGAUUGUCCUCUGUUCUAGGAGGACUGAAGAUUGAAGUCUUUCUUUGUUCACUGAAACACAUCCUGAGAACCUUGGACGUAGGUUCCUGAAGGUUCAGAUAGAACAACCACAGAAUUACUACCAAAUUCAAUAACUUGACCUUCCAGAUGAAGAUUCUCCAGCAAAUUCAACAAUUGAUUUUAUAGAUGACUGUCAAAUCAGCAAAAUCUAGUUUAUGAUCCACAGCAGCACAGGGAGGGCAGAGCUGGGUCUAGGAACUGGCAUCCUAAUUACUAGUAAGGCACUUUGGGACAGAAUUCUGCCUUUCCAAAAAAACCUAACAUUGCAUUUGUUGUUUGCUGCAAGGAUGAGCAGUUUGUAAAUCCACAUGUCACCAUUGCUUCCCAAGACACACCAGGGUCACAAUAAACAAGCAACAGUUUCCGACUUCAUCCUAAACAACAUAAUUUAUGAGACUCAGCUCCUUCCUAAUCUUCCCUUUCUGGCCCACAGAUCUCUUGGAUUGUCUUUUGUGAGCCCACAGAUGACUUUGACUCUCCUCUUAAGGAAACAUUUCCGAUGCUCCUGAUAUUUUGCCUGUGGCUCUCUGAUCCUUUGUGUCUGAGACCAGCUGCAUCUUAGAUCACAGAUGUAAAAGAGCCUCCCCUCUACUCUUCCUCCAGCCUUACACAGUGUGGCCAGUACCUUGGGUGGAGGAGAAGGAAAUUCUCCUCUCUUAUUGGUAUUCAACUCUGACUUAGGACAAAACAGUUGCCUUGGCCUCAGCAUCUUACAGCCCUUAGUUUUCAGAGCAUUUUUGUUUGAUGCGCUUCUGUCACUGAACACAAUCCUCCCCUCUAGUUCAUCUCACAUCCUAGCAGAAACUGCACCAGAAUAAUCCUCUGUAAGGUAAUUAUUUUACCCAUCUUUUCAGGAUAAGACAUUGAAGCCUAGAGAGAGUAAGGGUCCCACAACCAUUACAUGGAAGA